rnacentral:tRNA from 4 species
GGACCUUUAGCUCAGUUGGUUAGAGCGUUUCCUUGACAUGGAAAAGGUCACUGGUUCGAGUCCAGUAAGGUCCACCA